rnacentral:rRNA from 1 species
GCAUAUCAAUAAGCGGAGGAAAAGAAACUAACAAGGAUUCCCCUAGUAACGGCGAGUGAAGAGGGAAGAGCUCAAAUUUUAAAUCUGCCUUGUUUUCAAGGUCGAGUUGUAAUUUGAAGAAGCGUUUUCUUGGGCUCGCGGCCGGUAGAAGUUCUUUGGAACAGGACAUCAUAGAGGGUGACAAUCCCGUCUGCGACCGGUCGUGCGUUCAUCUACGAUACGCUUUCAAAGAGUCGAGUUGUUUGGGAUUGCAGCUCCAAAUGGGUGGUAAACAUCACCUAAGGCUAAAUAUUGGCGAGAGACCGAUAGCGAACAAGUACCGUGAGGGAAAGAUGAAAAGAACUUUGAAAAGAGAGUUAAACAGUACGUGAAAUUGUUGAAAGGGAAACGAUUGAAGUCAGUCGUGCUGGCGCGAAAUCAACCUUCUCGUCGAGAGAUCACGUGGCGUGGCGAGCCUCAAAACCGUCACGAAGCGUGAACUCUUUGUGAAAUGGAGCACUUUCGUGUCCGCUGGUUAACAUCAAUUUCGAACGUCAUAAAAAGGCUGGAGGGAUGUGGCUCCUUCGGGAGUGUUAUAACCUUUAGCGGAAUGUGGUGGUCGGGAUUGAGGAUUGCAACGAAUACCUUUAGGGCUGUUCCACCUGGCUUCUCUUUGGUAUCCUGGGUGACGACAGCUUGCUGACGUCGUUGGGAUUCGCCUUUGAACAGGUUAGAGUGUGAGCAAAUUCGUUAAGGAUGUUGACGUAAUGGCUUUAAACGAC